rnacentral:rRNA from 1 species
AGUGAACGCUGGCGGUAGGCCUAACACAUGCAAGUCGAACGGCAGCACAGUAAGAGCUUGCUCUUACGGGUGGCGAGUGGCGGACGGGUGAGGAAUACAUCGGAAUCUACUUUUUCGUGGGGGAUAACGUAGGGAAACUUACGCUAAUACCGCAUACGACCUACGGGUGAAAGCAGGGGAUCUUCGGACCUUGCGCGAUUGAAUGAGCCGAUGUCGGAUUAGAUAGUUGGCGGGGUAAAGGCCCACCAAGGCGACGAUCCGUAGCUGGUCUGAGAGGAUGAUCAGCCACACUGGAACUGAGACACGGUCCAGACGCCUACGGGAGGCAGCAGUGGGGAAUAUGGGACAAUGGGCGCAAGCCUGAUCCAGCCAUACCGCGUGGGUGAAGAAGGCCUUCGGGUUGUAAAGCCCUUUUGUUGGGAAAGAAAAGCAGCAGGUUAAUACCCCGCUGUUCUGACGGUACCCAAAGAAUAAGCACCGGCUAACUUCGUG